rnacentral:rRNA from 1 species
UAAGUCCCGCAACGAGCGCAACCCUUGAUUUUAGUUGCCAGCAUUUAGUUGGGCACUCUAAAGUGACUGCCGGUGCAAGCCGGAGGAAGGUGGGGAUGACGUCAAAUCAUCAUGCCCCUUAUGACCUGGGCUACACACGUGCUACAAUGGAUAGUACAAAGGGUCGCGAAGCCGCGAGGUGGAGCUAAUCCCAUAAAACUAUUCUCAGUUCGGAUUGUAGGCUGCAACUCGCCUACAUGAAGCCGGAAUCGCUAGUAAUCGUGGAUCAGCAUGCCACGGUGAAUACGUUCCCGGGCCUUGUACACACCGCCCGUCACACCACGAGAGUUUGUAACACCCGAAGUCGGUAGGGUAACCUUUAUGGAGCCAGCCGCCGAAGGUGGGACAGAUAAUUGGGGUGAAGUCGUAACAAGGUAGCCGUAUCGGAAGGUGCGGCUGGAUCACCUCCUUUCUAAGGAA